CGGCCCGCUUCCCUGGUUUUUGCCCGCCUUCGCCUCUCCAGGCCCGGCGGGCGCUCUGGACGCCUACCAGGCCGAACUCCGGGGCCCUGGCGCCUGGCCAGGUCGUGCAGCUGGGCCUGGGCUUUAAUCUAGCGCCCUAAGGGCCCUGGGCGCGUGAGAACUUUUGCCCCCGUCCCUCCUUUUCCCUCCCACCGGACUGCACGAGCCCUCCCUUCCCAGCGGCUCCCAGGAGCAGCGCCAACCCUGCAGUGGUCCUUGCUCAAGUGGCCUUAGCAAGAACUCGGCUCCAAGAGAAGGAACUUCCAAGUGACAGCCUUGGGAGGCCAAGGGCUACUUGGCUGAUGAGAACAGCUCUGGGGCAGCGGCGCUGGGCCCUCGGAAGACCCCUCCCCCAAUCCUUUCCUUUCCAGAACCAGCUUUUCCAGCUCGGCAGCAGCAUAGUCAGGUUUCAGGCGGGUGUGGAUUGUUUUCAACCCCUGGGGCUUGGGUGGGAAGCGUAAAGACGGGGAAGCUGGUUGCCCACAUAGUUAGUGUUCAGCAGCCCCCCUCUUUGGAGGCACCCCAGGGACCCUCACAGCUGAAGUAAACACAGAAACCAAGCCCCAUCUUAACAAACAAAAAAAAGCACUUGAUGCUGGGGCACUCAAGUGAGGGUUUCCGGACGGAUCCCAGGGAGAAGCUAUGAACUAGUACUGCAAGGGUUGGCUGGUGCUCUUGGUGGGCGGCAAACAGCACGAAAGGGUCUUGGGACAGAGAAGGGCGUGGCUUCUUCCCGGGGUGAGCAAACUGGUGGGAGAGUUGCGAGACGCAUCUCAGACUUUGUUUUAGCUGGGGAGGUCCCCGACUCUGUCCCACAGGGUGACCCCCACCUGCAGAGAGAAACACCUGAUCCCAGCGCCCUCAGAGCUCACGGCCAGACGGGAGACAGAGGGGUGGAUGAUUAAAAUAUGGUGGGGCCAGAGCUAGGGAAGAAGCCUGGGCCAGGGAGGCAAGCCAGAGAAGGUGACAUGGGGACCGAGAAGGAGCUCCCCGUACAGGCGGGGGUGUGGGUCAGCUGGGCAGGCUCAGGAGGCUGCAGAUCCCGGAGGCCCCGGACUCGGUAGAAAGCUGGAGAUGCCGUUAAAAUAAAGGUGAGGUUCCCUCAGAGCCUUGGGCCGCCCUUCACUCUAAAGAUGGAGAAACUGGGGACCUGAGAAGUGGACCGAGGUCACCCAGCUGGCUGGAGUUGGGGCUGGGCCCGGGCACCCAGUCAGUAAUAAGCCGACGGGACUGUGAGGACUCUUCAGUGUCCCCUGCCUUCCAUUAUGGUGAGAAAGACAAGAGUUUAGUAGACAAAAAUGUGAGCGUAAUUUGAGCUGUUGCUAAGUGGUAUGAUUGUGAGUGACUGGGGGCUACUGAGAGAGGACGAUUAACAAGGGCCUCUCUGAGCAGGGGACAGAGUACUGGCCAGGCCGCAGGAAUGGCCUGUGCAAAGGCCCUGGGGCAGGAACAUACCUGGUGUGAGAGAGGAGCAGAGACGCAGCCUGAGGGGCUGGAGCAAAGGGUGUGGGGCGGGCCUGCAGCCUUUGGAGAGGAGUUUGGGCUGGAUCUCAGGCGAGUGCCUCCUGUGUGAUGGGUGUGGAGAGGGCAGCGACAGCUGUUGUGGGUGGUGGGAGAAUCCAUGCCCUGACCACAGUGGGCCAGAGAAGAAGCUCCAGGGUGAGGAGUGGGCUCAACAUCUCUGUCCCCCUGACUCCUUCGGCCACAGCAUUUUCUAGGAGCCCCACGACCAGGAGGGAGGGUUACAGCCAUCCCCCCGCAAGCAGGGCGCUGCUUCCGCUCGCUUUCCCAGUGACUCCUAAACCCUGUGGUGUGUCCUCUGGAUCUCCCUGGUUUGCUGCUGCCGGAGGAGCGUCAUCACCAUCCUCACUGUUGGAAGCAUCGUGGCACUUCUCUGAAGGAUGGAAAAAUCGAUGCGCAGAAGAGCGGGCGCAGGGAAGGUACAGACAGCGCUGGGAGGAGAGCAAGGGCAGGGGAGUCAGGCGCGUGGCGGGGGCGGGGUGGCCGGCUCCACCCCCCAGAGCAAACUCCGCGUGGGCGUGGGCAGCACAGGCCCGUGAAGUGGUUUUGGUGUUUCUGUAUUACGAUUACAAAAGCGCGUUCCUCGUAGACGAGGAAAAUCACCGCAUCCAGUUCCAGAGGCAACCUCGCCAUCAGCGAGCAUAGCAAAUCCUUCCAGCCUGUUUUCUCUGCGCGGUGAAUGCACUUUUUAGUUUUGCAAAAUGAGGACGAGCUCGACUGCUUUAUUCAUCUAACAGUCUGUCACCAACAUCCUCCUGUCCUUCCCUGGUGCGACAUCACUGUACCUGAGUUGGGGGAGGGGGGCGUGCACGGCACAGGGCUUGGGGUCAGACUCCUGGCCCCUUGGCUGUGUGACCUCGGGCAGGUGGCCCACACACUCUCUGGGCCGGCCCAUCCUCCGGUGCCUGCCUUACAGCCCCGUGGUGAGAAUGACCCCAGAACAGAAGCAGAGCGCGUUCAUCCCAGGCGGAGCCCGUCGUAAGCAUUCCUUCAACUGCGGGGACGCUAUUCUCUGUCUUUGUCAUUGUCCCGGGAAACCAGCAUUAUUUAGCCAAGCCUCGGUUAUUGAACAUGGAGGUUUUUUCCUUCGUUUCCCUGAAAGAAGGCUUCAAUGAACAUCCUUGAAAUCUCUGCCAAGUGCUCAACCAUUCAUUUUGAGUAAUUUCUGGGAGGAAAGUCAUGCGUGCUAGAGAAGGUGCUCACGUUUUCUACAUACUGCCUGACCGCCCUCUGGAAGUGUUCUGAUGACAUGAGUCUCCUCGGGGCUGCGUAACACGGCACCCCAAACUUGGUGGCUUCAAAUAACAGAAUUAUAUUCUUUCACAGUCCUGGAGGCUAGAAAUGCAAAACCAGGGUGCGGCAGGGCCGUGCUCCCCCGACGAUGCCAGGUUAGGAUCCUUCCUGCGUUUUCCAGCUUCCGUUGGCUGCCCACGUUCCUCGAUCCUUGACGCCAUCACUCCGUUCUCCGCCCCUGUGGUCACCGUGUCUCCUUCUCUGUCUGUCUUCCGCCCUGUGCGUCUCUUACAAGGAUACUAUCCUGUACUCCAGGAUGACCUCCUCAGCUCAAGAUUUUUAAUUUAAUUAUAUUGCCAGAGACCCUCUUUCCAAAUAAGGUCGGAUUCACUGGUUCUGAGAAUUAGGACAUGGCUCUGUCUUCUGAGGAUUCACCCUACAACACAUUCCUACGGAGAAAGGAGGGCGAUGUAGAAUCCCUUUUCCCUCGCCGCACAGGAUACUCUCAUCUUUUAAAAAAAAUGUUUAGCCAAGUUAUUCGGGUAAAAAGGACAUCUCGUUUUAAUGUGCA